CUCUCUGCGCUCCCGCACCGCACCGCUCCGCUCGAACCCUAAACCCCUCCCCUCCAUCGGAAUCUCGCCGCGGCACCAUGGCGGCGGAGCCGCCGGAGCCGGCCUCCUCGCGGAAUGCCCCGCCCGCGGCCUCCACUUCCUCCACCGCCGCCGCCGUCCCCGGCGCCGGCGGCCCCAAUCCGUGCUGCGCAAAGCUAUGGAAGAAGUGCCAGAAGCUGGAGACGAGCCGGACGGCGCUGCGGGAGGCGGUGAAGCUCCUGCAGGCCGAGAACGAGAAGCUGCAGAAGGAUAACUCGGAGCUCAGCAAAGUUUGCAAGGAGGAGCGCCUACGAGGUGAUUCAGCUGAAGCAGCUAGGGCAACUGAGUCUGAUGCCAGAGAUCUACUAGAAAAGGAGAUAAUUGAAUUAAAGACGCAGAACUCAAGUCUCCAGCAAACACAAAAUAUCUGCAAACAUGAUAAUGAACUUUCACGUAUCUCUGAACUGGAGGAAGAAAAUAGAAAGCUCAAACAGAUUUUUGGAGAAGAAAGGAAGAAGAUUGCUUCUGAAAAGAAAAAAACCGAAGAAGAGAAGAGCAAGGAUCUGGAAAUGCAAAAGAUAUUGAAGUCAGAAACACAGAAGUCUGAAGAGUAUAGAAGAGUUGCUGAUACGGAAAGGAAAGUUGCCAAUGAUUGGAGAGCAUCAUGUGAAAGGUUGAGGAGUGAAGCAAAUGAAGUCAGAGCCCAAUUGGCUGCUCAGAUUCAGAGAACAGAGGAGGCGCUUAAAAGGGCUGAAAUGGAGAAGCAGAAGGUAACCAGAGAAAAGAAACUUGCUGAUUCAGAGAAAUCAUUAGCUGAAAAGAACAAAGCACUAAUUGAAGUUGAGAGGAAGAAAGUAUCGGAAGAGAAGUUCCGUGCUGACAAUUUGUUUGCAAAGUUAGAGGAGCAGAAGAAACUCAAUGAACAUUUGCGAACUAGCAUUCAAGUUGAAACGAAGAAUUCAAUAGAAGGGAAAAAGCGAGCAGACCAUCUGUUUCAGAAAUUGGAAGAGGAGAGGAAACAGAGUGAAUAUUUACAAAGAAAGACAAAUGAACUUUGUGCUGUUAGAGAUGCAAUUCCUUCUGGCAAGUAUGGGCGUAAACAUGUUGAUAGAGCUUCUGAGAGUGCAAAUGUAAAAUUUCUCAAAGAGAAGCUUAAGCUGAAGAAAGAGCAAUUAAAGCACAUGAAGAAUGUGUCAAAGCUAGAUAAAGCAAAAAAUGCUUUGACAAGAAGAGAGCUUCAGCGUUUAAAACAAGACUGGCUGCAACUGCUCGGCCGAUUUAACAUUCUCGAUGACCACCUAGCUGGUGGUGUUGAAGGCGGGAAUCUUCUCAUUUCCACACUAUCACAUUUGAAGCAGCAUCCGGAGAUACAUGGCUUUGAACAAAAGUUGCUUCCAAAUGAUUCAGUUCCUGCCCCGUAUUUUGGGUUGCAGGCUGGGAUGGUUCCAUUCGGCUCUUCUAUCCCAAGGGAAUACACUUCGUAUCAGUUACCCAGAGAAAGCUGCACACGACCAAUCUCAGGUACUAGUUCUGAAUUACGGCCUCCUCUUGGUAGCUCUCACAGAACAAAGUCAAAAAGUCACCACAGGUCUUCAUGUCCCACAUCCAUAUCUGAUGAAAAGUUAAUGGGCUCACAGGGUAAGGAUAGACUAUUUGUGUCCUCGUCAACAGAUAUCAGAAAAAACCAGAAUUCUUCUGUUCCCGAGCGGUGUCCUAAAGAUAGUAAUGAUAGAACAUUGCCUCUAGAAGCAUUGAAGUUGCCCUUGUCUGGUUGUACAGAAGUUACAGAUAAAACACUUGGUGGUGGUAGGAAGAGAAAAAGGACCAAAAAGCCUCUAGAACCUGCUUGUCUCCCCUCUAAACAUGAUUUGCUGCAUUUGAAAUCGAAGGCCCAUGCUGCCACUUCAACUGAUGUUUUAGCAUUUGAGGAUGAUCCUUCAGGUCUGCAGCAAGGAAAUAACAAUGUGCUGUGUGUGACUGAAGGUGAUAUGGAAAAUCAUAGGAGAAAAUAUCUUGCUGUCUCCGAUAAAGCUCCUCCCUUCAGCUUACCUUCUAAAGUGUCUUCUCCUGGUGGCAAUCCUGGUGAAGGAAAUGGCUGUGCUGGUAGCAAGUUCGCUUCGUUGCUCUCCUUUGAGGAAAUGAUCAGGGAAAACUGCUUGAAGUUACUCGAUUUUGAUGAUGAUGCAGAUGAGGAAAAGUACAUAAAGGCAAAGGAGAGACCUCUUUCACCAAGCCUGCCCAUUAUUCAACCCCGCAGAACUAAAGUGCCUACAUGUGCACAACCUGGUAGUUUGGGUGAUAGAACUCUCAGUAAUUGUCCUGCCUCUGUAUCUGAUUCCAUGAGGUCCAAAGUAUUGGAAGUUAAAGAGCCUGGGAUUCAGAAAUUGGCUCAGAAUUGUAUCCAGCUCGGUCCAUCCUUAAAUAGAAUUGAAUGUAGUGACUUUGUUGAACAGCUUUGUGCAAAUGAUAAAUCCAAUGCAGCUGCCAAUGUUUCUUGUGGUGCUGGUUUGGUUGGUGUUCCAACAAACGCUUCUUUCGGCAGCCUUUUGCAUGAGGAUGUGGCUGGGAAUUCUGUAGCAUCAUCUGCUAUGAUAUUAGACAAUACAAGCAGACUAUUGUUAUCAGGAAGUGGCUGUGGUGGUUCAGAUUCCAUUUUGCAAUUGCAGCAUUUGUCCAAGGAGGUGCCUAGCAAAAAGGGCUCACUUCAUAUUGGUGACAGAUCAUUGGGUCCUGGACUGCAAGCUAAUGUUGGGGCAAGUGAGACUACAGUGACCAAGCAAGGCCAUUUGGACUCAAAUAGUAUGCUUGGGCAUUAUUAUGGAUCCGAAAAAAAUCAAAUGCACAUAGUUGGAUUUACAAGAAUGAAAAGAAGCACCAUGGUCAACCUAUUCAGAUAUUGGGAGAUGCUGGGUUCUCAACCUCAAGAGCAUUCUGUGGAAUCUUUUAUUGAUGGUCCAUUGCUUGAAAAAGUAUCAGCUGACCCAUUGCUAUCUACAGACGAGAAGGUUUCCCUCAUAUUUUCCCUUUUGUUGUGGGAUAUUAGAUUCACAGAAGAAACUUUUGUGGAUGGAAAUUUUGCCUCAUCAGCUUUUUCCCUAAGUGUGAAGUCUCAUUUGGAAACAAGGUGGACCAUUCUGAGAGGGGAUCAGCUGGAUGUUCUUAUCUCCUUAAUUGAAGAUUUUCUCCUGAAAAAAGAAGUGACAGUAUGUGAAAAAACGGGACAGAAAGUUUUUGACGCAAGCAAGGAUUAUAAAACUGGUAUACAGCUUUCAGUUAAACCUGCGAAAAUAGAUCAAUUUAUCGCCGCUUGCAUUCUGUUAGCUUCAAUAUGUGUGGAAGUGGAGAGAGUGGAUGUUGUUUUAGAAGUUUCAUACAAAGCUCUUCAGAUGGAUAAAACUAAUCUUUUGUGGACUCUGUUGGCUCUCCAUGUCUUUGGUUCCAUAUGUGGUGAUAAGUUUCUUUUUCCAAAGAGUUGCAACUUUCUCGCGACAGCUAUACGGUUGGUUGUCCUGCUUCUUGAGAGCAAAGACACUUCUCUGUGCCUUGUGUCAUCAUAUAUCCGAUCAUAUAAGUCAACAACAUUACCGUCCUGUUCCCAUUGCCUGUUUGAUGUGGAUACGGUUUCCAUAGAUGGUUUUAUCUCUUCUCUAUUGGAUGAGCUGGAUAUAUGUUCGCUGCUGUGGAAUAACCAUGCCUGCUCAAAUGAAACUAUAAGGCACAGUUCUCAUUCAGGAUCAUAUGAACUUGAGAUCAACUGCGGUGAACUUUGCAGUAUAUCCAAGCAAGGAAAACUAGCUGAGGAUAGUGAUAACGGUCCUGCAGGGAUCAACUUAUGCUACUUCACUGAGCUAAUUUCUUUGCUUGAGCUCUUUGGGAUUUAUAUGAGCUGCGAAUGGACAUACAACAAUGUUGUUGUCCGUCUUCUGGAAAUUCUGGAAUCGUGCAUGUGCGAUGAGUAUUCAACUGCUCUGUUAGUACUUGUCAGCCAACUCGGAAGGUCCUUUAUUGAUGAUGUUGGUUAUGAGCAUAGUAGAGUUAGUGAGCUGAGGGACAAGUUAUCAUCAUUUUUAGCAGGGACAAGUUUUACAAAAUCAAGCAGUUUAAGUGUUCAGUUUUCUGCCAUUGGUGCACUGCUCAGCGUCCUUCCACUGUCAUUUGACAAAACUGUUGCCACUCAAAGUAGGCAUUUAUUAGGUCCCUUUGUUGUGCAAGCGAGACAGAUUUCUGAAUGGUUUGUUCAGUUAAGCAACGAGCAUCAAUCUUUAGCUCGUUCCUUUUUUAGCUGAAAGUUUAUAUAUUGCUGUAGCAUGGCUGGGCGUUUCAUGGACCAGUGAAGAAUGCCUUGUGCAAUUUUGAUAUGAUCCGCACAGGUGUAUUCGUGGUCCCAUAACAUCAUUUUGGAUUACUCCCUUGCUUUGACAGAUGCAUAGAGGAUGAUGUUUGUGUCAACUUCGAACAUGCCGAAGUAUUUUGCAGAUCAUGUUUUUUUCAACAUCAUGUUAAUGUAUCUGCAAGAGCAGCCAAGAAACCCAACAGCGAAGCAUUCAGAGAAAGGACAUGCAAAUGCUGGGUUUGGACCGAGAAAUGUGUUUUCAACAGAAGUCAAGACAGGAUUGCAGAUUUUUUGCACUGUUGGAUGUCAGACUUAAUGAGUACAUCAGAGAUCAUUGAAUCAAGGAUUUCGGAUUUGAAGAGAUGGUCCAAUUAAUGCAUGUGGUCUCUUAUAUUGCCAAAUGGCAAUGAUCCGUGUGAUGUUUGGAUCUGUAGGAUCUGAUGGAUCCGAAGAGGCUGCGAGUCAUGAUCGGCAGAUGGAUGAGAUUGUGGGUAUGUUUAGCUGAGAAGAUCUCUUUCAGGAAGUAAAUUUUGAUUCAGAUAGCUUGGUCCCACCAGAAUCAGUUAUGACGUACUAAUAGUUGUGUUCUGCUUUUUAGAUAGCAGAGAGGGUAGGCAAGGUUUCCGUGUUGAGGUUUGAAGGAGGUGGUACGAAUUUUUAUGAUCCCACCUUGUCCUGCACGCCCGUUUUUCCACCCUUGUUAGAGAAUUAAGGCUUGUUGCAUUCUCAAGUUCUGGUUUUGAUAUAAGAUCUUGCUGAAAGUCUCACAGAAAUGAAGUUGUAUGAUCUAAUGUAGUUCCAAAGUUGCUACUGGAAUGGACCGGUACUGGUGAAUCAUCUUCAGUUGGAUGCAACAAAGAACGAGCGAUGGAUGCUAAUUUGAACAGGCCACAGGCGCGCAAGUCAUGGCUGCAGUUCAGCUUCUUCUAGUCUAGUGGGAAAAAAAACUGGAAAGUCCA